rnacentral:lncRNA from 1 species
UGUUUCAUUGGCAGGCUACAAUAAUGGGGCCAAAUGACAGCCCCUAUCAGGGUGGAGUAUUUUUCUUGACUAUUCAUUUCCCAACAGAUUACCCCUUCAAACCGCCUAAGGUUGCAUUUACAACAAGAAUUUAUCAUCCAAAUAUUAACAGUAAUGGCAGCAUUUGUCUUGAUAUUCUACGGUCACAGUGGUCUCCAGCACUAACUAUUUCAAAAGUACUUUUGUCCAUCUGUUCUCUGUUGUGUGAUCCCAAUCCAGAUGAUCCUUUAGUGCCUGAGAUUGCUCGGAUCUACAAAACAGAUAGAGAAAAGUACAACAGAAUAGCUCGGGAAUGGACUCAGAAGUAUGCGAUGUAAUUAAAGAAAUUAUUGGAUAACCUCUACAAAUAAAGCUAGGGGAACUCUGAAAGAGAGAAAGUCCUUUUGAUUUCCAUUUGACUGCUUUCUAUGAGCCCACGCCUCAUCUUCCCCUGUGCACAUGUUUACCUGACACAGCAGUGCUGCGUGUUGUACAUACUUGGAACAACAAACUAGAAAUACUGUACUUCUGUACCAACAUUGCCUCCUAGCAGAGAAGUGUGUGUGUGAGAAGCCAGUUCUCCGGGCGUAACCUAGGUGUGAGACUAAAAGCUUUCCUUAUUGACUUAACUUUGGAUAAUGGCAAGAUGUGAUGGGUAGUGGGUACACAGCGUGUGCUUGAAUGGGAGGAAAAAGCUCCAGUGACCCAUAGGAGAUGGUCCUUAAGUGGACUCCAUCUAAUCCCCUAACAGUCGUGAACAGCAUGGUGAAGAGCGUGAAGCUGUUUCUGUAUUCCUUUCAUCCUGAAAGACCUACAGCUUAGGAGAAAGUUAUGACCAAGCAGAGUAAACUACAUGCUGUAUUUUAAGGUCUAAGUUUAACUGAUCAACAUUUAAAUGGACUGGAGCUGUUAGUACAUAAAGUGUGAUGGACUUUGUUCCCAACACUUUCAUAUCUCCCUGCCCUUUCAGCCUUCCUCCUUUUAGCCCCUUUCCAUAAUCUUUGGUUUGUAUGUGGUUUCUCAGUUAAUACAUAGCUAAUAGCUCUUAUUUUUCUUAUGUUUUUAACUGCUUUAGGCCUAUUUCGAUGUAAGGGUGAACAUUCAUUUGAUGGAAACACUUGUGUAUAUUUAAAGACCCAGUUGCUCCUCUGGAGCUUGUACGUUCAAGAAUGAUUAAUCUGUGUAAUAAACUGAUUACUACAGUCAUUACAUAUAAUUUUGUGUGAAUAGGCUUUUUGAUUUAAAAACUUGGUCUAGCUAAGAUUAGUGGUGGAUUUUUCCUCAUCCCUGAAAUGUUUUCAUUUAUAUUUGUUGCAUUUCAAAAUCAUGAAACAAUUCCAGUUUACAUACUAAAAGAGAUGUGAGAGUAAUUUUAUUAAACAAGAUAGAGGCGUAAGCUUAAAGGCAUUUUCAUGAAACUUACAUGUGCACCAUUCCAGGAACAUGACUGUUAAACUAAAGAAAUUUGCUUUGUUAGUGAAAGUGAGCAGCACUUCACUAGAACCUUACGACAGUCUCUUGGUACAUAGGACAUAGGACACAAGGUGUUGCUGUUGAUGAGCUAAUUGAUUGUAACUAUAACGAGUAACUGACCAAACCUGGGAAACAUGAGCACAAUCUUGUAUCGGAGAGUCUACGUUAUUACUUUGCACUAACAUUUGCAGGAUGUCCAUUGGUUUUAAAUUGUACUGUAUGUGGCUUUUUGAAGUCUUCCUUUGACUCUAGUAAAAUGUAGUUUGGAAUUUGUAAACAACUGUUAAUCCAGAAACAUUCAUGUGAACUAGGCAAGUUAUCUCCCCUCAUCCCUUUUCCUAACCUAAAUGUAAGCCAGGCCAGCUUGAAGGCCAUGGCUGACGCUCUCUAGUCAUCAGGUUCUUUGAAAUGCAUCUUUACACUCUUGCACAAAAAUUGAGGAAUAAAUGACCACUGCUUUUGGUUUUAAACUUG